rnacentral:lncRNA from 1 species
UUGAGGAGACCUCGUCCGCCUGGAUGGAUCCGCCCAGCCGGGAGGGUCUCGGCCAUUCCUGACGAAACGGCGGAGAUGCCCAACCUGGAUAAGUUCCUCGAUCUUAUCCUUAAGGGCCUGACACUCGUCGGUUGAGUGUUCGGUGUUUUGGUGGUACCGACAUUGCUUCCUCCGGUCGGCGUUAUUUAGGCUGGCCACCUUCCUUGGGGGAGGGAUCAGCUCAACGUUGAGGGCUUCGUCCAGAAUCCUCCCCCGCUCGGUCGUCAGGGGUGUAUACCUUGAGAACCGGAUCGGUCGUUCCUUUGACCCGGCCGCCCCUGACGAUCCUUUUC